rnacentral:rRNA from 1 species
UGGGGAAUAUUGGACAAUGGGCGAAAGCCUGAUCCAUCCAUGCCGCGUGUGUGAAGAAGGUCUUCGGAUUGUAAAGCACUUUAAGUUGGGAGGAAGGGCAGUAAGCGAAUACCUUGCUGUUUUGACGUUACCGACAGAAUAAGCACCGGCUAACUCUGUGCCAGCAGCCGCGGUAAUACAGAGGGUGCAAGCGUUAAUCGGAAUUACUGGGCGUAAAGCGCGCGUAGGUGGUUCGUUAAGUUGAAUGUGAAAGCCCCGGGCUCAACCUGGGAACUGCAUCCAAAACUGGCGAGCUAGAGUAGGGCAGAGGGUGGUGGAAUUUCCUGUGUAGCGGUGAAAUGCGUAGAUAUAGGAAGGAACACCAGUGGCGAAGGCGACCACCUGGGCUCAUACUGACACUGAGGUGCGAAAGCGUGGGGAGCAAACAGG